UACGUAGGUGGCAAGCGUUGUCCGGAAUUAUUGGGCGUAAAGGGCGCGUAGGCGGCGACUUAAGUCAGAUGUGAAAACCCGAGGCUCAACUUCGGGCGUGCAUUUGAAACUGGGUUGCUAGAGUGCAGGAGAGGAAAGUGGAAUUCCUAGUGUAGCGGUGAAAUGCGUAGAGAUUAGGAGGAACACCAGUGGCGAAGGCGACUUUCUGGACUGUAACUGACGCUGAGGCGCGAAAGCGUGGGGAGCAAACAGG
rnacentral:rRNA from 1 species